UCGGUUUGUGCUUUAAACCCAAAGUAAACCGAAUAUAUAAACCAUUAAGUUUGAUUCUAAACCGGUAUCAUCUUCUUCUUCACCCGAUUCUUCAAACAAUCAACAACAAUUGUGAUAAAUUUGAUAUCAAAAUUACAAAAGCUCAUUGGAGCUUCUUCACUCGUCUUCUUCUUCAACAACCUCCGUAUCUCCGAUGGCGUCUUCGCCCCACACAAACGACGGCGGUCUCAACAAACGUAAGAAUAUCUUAAACAAGAUCAGAUCGUUGAUGAAACUUAUGUCAUGGGAAAGAAAAAUGAGCUUAGCAAUGAUUCUAGAAGAAUCGAAUUUUUGAUUGCAGGUCGAGAUGGUGGUAAUGGGAUAUGCUCUGGUUUUUUUUAUUCGAUUGAAUUUGUUCUUGAUUGUUUUAAAAGUAUGGCUAAUGAUUUUGAUUUUGUAAAGACAAACAAAAACACAUCCCUUUAAGAAUUGUUUCGAUUGAAUUCGGAUUAUUGAUUUUGUUUCUAU
rnacentral:sRNA from 1 species